CCAACUGCCCUGAGCCCUGGGCAGAGAGGUGUGUGUAAAUACACUGCAUUAAGUAUCUUACUCCGUGUGUUGUUAGGGAAAUCAUAGGGUGGCAGACAUGGUUUGGGGUGGUGUGCUGCUCUAGGACUAGUUUUUGAUAAGUGUGGUCUCUGAGGUAGAAGAGAAGGGAGUUUUAAAUAUUGUUCUUCCUGGACUUCUUCUCCCUUAAAUUUGUACCUUGCCACAAAAUACAUGCCCAAGUUACUCAAGGGAUUUCGAUCACCACCUUGUGGGAGGGAAAAGAGAAGGAAAGAAAAGUGGGAGAAUUUACAGCAUUAACAUGUGAAAGACUGACAAAGGACUGCUGUCCAGCAUCAGAAAUACAAGCUGUAGCUGGUUACAGUAUCCAUGGAUGAUCUGGGACCAUUCUUCACUUGGAGUCCUCUCUUCUUUUGUAAUGGAAGUAAAUAAACUUGAGGUUUCACAAACAGCUCAGACCCUGCCAUAACUGUAGUUGUGACGACUGUAUCUGUAGCCUUUCAUUGCCCAGAAAUGGUGACUUUUAGGUGUUGGGUUACGUGUAGGAAUAGUUAAACCAAGUUACAUUUUCGGAAUUUAAUCAUAAAUCAGAUUGCAUCUCCUUGGGUGGCAUUCAGGUGGUGGUAGCACACAGGGAUUUGGGGCCACUUCAGAUCCCCCACCACAGGCUGUGCCAUCUGCAUUGGGCUGGCAGAGUAAUGUUAGAUCCACAGAACUGUAUCCUUCUGGAGCAGCAGCUUGAAGCUGGGAAUGGCAUCCUGGCUGGUUCCCUGUGGAAGAGGGGGUGGUUUGUAUCUGUGGAUUUGGUUUUCUUCUUUUCAUUUGGUCAUUGGUUUGUGGUUUCUAAACAUUGUCUGAGAACAGUUUCUUGAAAUAGUAUUCAUAGAUGAAACCACCUCUUUGGUUACCUUUAUCUCUAAAAGAAGAAGAUAUUUCAGUGCAUGUUAAUUACCUGUGGGCUGCAGUAUUACACUGAUGAUACUUUUGUGACUUUUAGAAAAGUUUAAACAGUGCAGGUAUUGAUUUUUUUUUUCCCAAAGAUUGGCUGUACUUUGUAAGGUUUCCACUUUUCCGCCACAUUUGUCCAAGUUGAUCUUAAGUUUGUGUGUCUUGGAAAUUCAGGGUGUUUUUCCCUCUUGACAAUGCGCUGUUAAUGGUUUUGGUCUUCUAAGGCUUCAAAGUCCUCUGACCUCUCACAGCAUAAUGUGAGAUGUAUAAUACAUUAGUCUCUUUACCUGUGAGCCUCCAAGAACUCAAUUAUUACUGAAUUAAUAUUCUACAUAAUCUGUAUUCAAGGGUAGUUCACUUUGCAGUGGCUUUGCCACUGAUUGAUUGCCGUAAAUGAACUGUGCAAGUCAACUACCAUGCAAACAAACACAAGUUUCUUAAAUACAGAGAUCCCUGAAAUCCAUUGUUUCCUGUUUUGAUGAUAAGAGUGUGGUGAGGCAGUAAUGAACUUUCUUUGGAUUUUGUUAAAAUAUAUUCUUUGGUGAUCUAUAAGGGAGAUUGUAGAUAUCACCAAUUUGAAAUGAACAGAGUAAUAUCUUUGAGUUUCUUAAUAAAAGUACAAAUAAAUUGUAUUCUUUCUUUCUCUCUAGUGGCUUGUGAUUGCUGCCUGCGUAAGAGAUUGUAAGGGCUCAGAAGACAGAGAGGUACUUUGUAGCCAGGUCAUUGUUCUAGAACCCAUGUUGGCAUCAUUAGGGAACUCUAAUUACAGAAGGAUCAUCAGUCUUCUCCUUGAUCUGCACUCUGCAGGUUAUAUAAUGCAGGAGAGAGAAUGCACAGCAGGAAUCUAUCUAUCUGGAAGUAGAGUGACAUAGCUUUACAAUUAUUUACUGACACAACAGAUACGAAAGCAGCAUUCCCCUAAAAGACAAAAUACUGUAUUUAGUGCAGACUUCUGGUAUUCGGGGAAUUUAGGGGUUACUCAAAACAUCCUGCUGUUCUAGGCUUUUUCAUGCCUUAGUGCGUGUGUUUAAUUUGCUAUCUCAGUCUUAUUUGAAAUUUCUGUCUGUACAUAGAUGUUUAAGGUUGAUAUGAUUGUAUUAAUGAGUGCUUCUCCAGAAAGAAUUUAUGCAUAUACGGAGUGUAAUAUUUUAGUGGUCUGAUUGACGAGAUUUUCUGACUCUUCACUAGGACUCAUUUGUGUAUUUUCUGUAACUGAUUUUAGGAAAAAAAUAGUGAAGGUCUCAAAAUAUUUUAUUAGCAUGUUAUAUUAUUAAGUGAUUCAAUAUGUAGGGAUGACUCUAUUCUUGAGUUCAUCAGCUGAAUUUGAGUGUCAUUGCAUCGUAGCACAACUUGAUGCAGAUCAGCUGCUUUGAGGCGUGAUUGUUAUGUUGUUUCAACUCUGUUUCACUGAGUGUUGUUCCUUGCAGUGGCUUCUGUGAUCAGCUCUUACGAGAUGUGCUUAACAGCAUUCAGCUCAAGUUGCCUAUUUCCAUGCUUGCACAUUUAUUUGGCUUUCUGGAGGCUCAUUAUCCCAAUGCUAUGUCACAUCCAUCUUUUCUGCAUCUUCCAUGUCGAGGAAGAUUGCUGAUACACAGCCUCAGACAAUGUUUGGUACGUCACUGAGUUAUAUGUCAGAGAUGAGAUAUAAGGUAUUUGCACUGAAAAUAUCUGGUGCUUUCUGUUUUCUAAAUUGUCAUGUCUCUGUGGUGAAAGUAUCUUCAAUAUAAAAAUGAAAAUUGGAAUAAUGGGAUUGAACAAAUGCAACCUUGGUGUUCCCUUUUCCCCCUCUUUUUAAGGAGACUAUGAAAGGCAUGCAGUGUUUCUCCCUAAGAUUGCUACAUAAUCAAAAACAUUUGAAAACUGAAAUCUUUUGUUUUACAGAAGAUGCCUUAUAGAUUAUUUUUGGUCUUAUUUAGAGUUUCAUGGCAUGGCAAUGUUACACAGGGGUUAUCAGAAGCAGGUUAUGAGAAGACCUGUUAGGAGCUAGAUGCCAAAGAGGUGUCACUGUAAUUGCUAAUCCCAGUCUAACAUGACCCAAAUUUUGCAGAGCAGCCACCAAGAACCUUCAGUGAAUACUGGGAGAAAAACUGCAUUAAUCAGGACUGUACUUGCUUCAUAUGCAAUACUCUGAGACUUUUUUUUCAUUCCUUUGUUUUCAUAAAAGAGUGACAAACCAUUUUAAACGUACCAUUUCAAUAUUUAUAGGCUAUGUAUUCAUUCUUUUUUGAGUUGUUUUUUUUGUUUGUUUGUUUGGGUUUUUUUGUGUGGGGGUGUUGUUUGUUUGUUUUUAAUUGUGGUAACUUUUCCUGUAUUGAAGAGUAUUAAAGGGAGAUACUACAAGUUGAGAUCAACAAGUGUGUUCCAUAUAUAUAUAUCACAACACCAAUUAGCCUCUUUUUUCCCAUAUUUUGCAUGUAGAAUUAUUCAUAAUUCACCAAAGGAGAAAAGAGACAAAAAUUACUAUAGUUCCUAAGUUGUCUUCUGUUUUUAUUCACUAUUGGAUUGUGUGCAACGGAAUGUAUAUUUGUGGGGGUAAAAAAAAAUUGAAAAAUAACUUGGCCAUUUAAAAAAAAAGUACAAUGCCUGAUAAUUUUGUGUUUCGGUGAGUAAAGAAUUUUUUUGAAAAAUAUGAAGCAGUGAAAUGCUGCUUUUGGACAGAUUUGGUUAAUUUAACAAUAAUAGCAUAUCAAAAGCUUGUUAGUAAGGGUUAUAGUGAGAUGAAAAAAGCCCCAGAGCCUUGAAAUCUCUAAAAACAGUGACAGGCUGGCAGGUUGGGCAGUCUGUAUUACAGCAGUUUUUUGCCUGCACUGUGAGUCUGUGUGUCCAAAAACUGGCAUCUCCUGGUGUUUUUGCUGUACGUCAGGUACAUCUGCACACGUCAGGAGACUCAGCUGUGUGUUCAACUGGAAACUUCCAUAAGGAACACAGCUGGGAUAACAGUGACAGCACAGCAGUAUUUGUCUCUAAGCGCACAAAUGCCAGCUUACAUUCUGGAAGCUGAGAAGGAGGAACGUCAGAAGGCAGCUGCCAAGUGUUCCCCCUCACAAAAAGAUAAAUCUCCGAUUUAUAUGGGGAUGCUGAGUCCUGAGUAAUCCGGUCCCACUUCAGUGUUUUCCAUCAAGAAAAUGUUCUUCAAACAGCUGCCACACAUCUCAGGAGGUCUGGUCUGCCUGGAAUUUGUCCUUCUGUGUUCUAGUUUUGCAGCCACCUAUGUGAAGUGCAAUGAAAAUUCCAUCUUAAAAAACACUCCUUGCAAAAUUAGUGCUAAGCCUGGGUAGAAAGGUGCCUAAACGGGUUGCCUGCUCUUCCUCUUGUGUGCAACAGGCAUAGCAGCUUCAAGGGCUUAGCAUAUGCUCAGGGGUUUUCAUAGUUGAGACAUCUUGUUCUAACUUGCUCAGUUUGGUGGUUUUAACUGAGGGCAUUUUAGCAUCUGCUGGUGGCAAUUACCUCAUUGAACCAUGAUCUGACUCCAAUUUCCAUUCCUGGCUGGGCAUGCAUAGAAAACAUUUCCUGAUGUUCUGUGCCUGUUUAUUAUCUAAGUACAAAGAGCAGAACUGUGUUUUUUUGUUUGGUUCCCUCAAGGUUUGGGUAAGAUUGUAGGGGUCAACAUGCAGGAAGGUUACAAAAACCCAGUUGAUCAUUAAAUUUAAUAGGAGUUAUGUAUUUUAAAUAUUUUUGUUGAUGAGGAAAACAGAUAAUGUAAAAUAAAUGCAUGAUUCAUGUGGAAGCAAGGAGUGAUGAAAGUUUGUGGCCUUGAAUAUCUGAGAGAGCAAACCUUUCAAGUGCUCCCUAAGAAUAUAUGGACCCUCAUAAGCAACACUUCUCUGAGCAUUAUCUGAUAUGCUGCUUCUGGGCACAUCUUACUUUUUCUGGUGAAAUGAAAAUCAAUGAAGUAUUUUUCCUAUUCUGCAGGCAAGGUCUAAAAACCUCAAAGUCAUUUUGGAGGUUUGAGGUGUUUUUCAUUAAAAAUAAUGUUGAUGUUUUGUGAUUAAUGAUUUACUGGAAUCCUUACAGAUUAUUAAAUUCGGUGAAUUAAGGUUUUAAGUCGCCUUGUUGUUCCCAUUGUUGCUGUUAUUUUUUUAAAUUCUAUUAAGGAAGAUGUGGAGAUCAGAAUUCAGCUGUCACAUUAGCGUUCCAUUUAUUUGGCUGAUUGCUGUUGUGGAUGUCUAGAUAAUUAUAUGUAAAUCAUUGACUUCUUGCUAAUGGCCAACUUGAGGGGAUUUUUCCACAAAUCUGUCGGUUCUUGAAUGUUUCUCCUAAAGUGUGAGGAGGAAUUAAAAAAAAACAUUUUGACAUUCAUGCAAAUGUAGGCUGAAUGUAGACAUGCAAAUGCUUAAAGUCUGGUAUCUAAACGUGGAUGUUUUCAGACUGUUACUUUUUUAUGGGAAAUCAGGUUAUGUAUUUAAAAACUGCUGAAUUGUAAGUGCCUGAAACUAAUAGUUUCAAUGUGAUUUAAAAUCCUGCUUGUCUUCUGAACAUUUUUUCAGUGUCAACAGUAAAAGUCCCCUGAAAUGAAAAGGAGCUACAUAAAUCCAGUGUCUUUGGAAAGGUCAUUACAAUGUGGAUGCCUAAUACAGAGUUGGAAGCUUUAAUUUUUUAUAUGGAGUUGGCAAUUUUGGCCUGAUUUAAUAAUAGAAAUUUUCCAUAGUUUUACAUAAGGUAAAUAAUCUAUUUUGUGCCUGGUGAUGAAAAACAAUUUUUGCAUUAAAAAAUCCUUGUUUUCUUAAAAUUACUGGAGGUAGAAAUAGCAAUGGUCAAAGCAUUAGGGGUGUCCUAAGUGUGGCACAUUUAAACCUGUGUGAGGAAACCUGUGUGAGGUGGCUUGUGUUUAUGGAUGAUUAAUAGUAUUCAUACAAAAACACUAACAUCAGCAGUGAAGCUUUCACAUGUUAUGUGUGAAAAAGCAGUUCCAUUUUAAAGAGGCUUUUGAAAGCAGUCUUUGUUCAUAAUUUUACUCUGCUCAGUUAAUUGAACUAUUCUUUCUCGUUCAGAUACCAUUUGGGGCUUGGAGAAAACAUUUGCUGUAAAUUUGGAUGCUUUUAUAAAUUCAAGUAAGUUUGAGCCUAAAACUGAGUGAAGUAUGCAGGCAAACAUAGUUAUAAUUAUUUCAUUCACAUGUCAGUAGUAGCUGACUUAUCCCAUAUAGAAUUUUAAAUCUUCAGUACUCAAUAAGCCUUGGAAAUUUGUGCUUAGUCUGUUUUCUUAUACUGUUGACCUGAAAUUUUUUUGUUUCAGUCAUACGGCUAUUUGAGAAGAACCGCCCCCUCCUAGAAUAUGUUAUAAACUAAAUGACAAAGUUAUUUAAUAUAUACAUGGCAUUCUGUGAAACUGUAUAGCUUUCAUAAAAUACUGGAAUAA
rnacentral:lncRNA from 1 species